rnacentral:rRNA from 1 species
GACGACGACGUUGAUAGGCCGGGUGUGUAAGCGCAGCGAUGCGUUGAGCUAACCGGUACUAAUGAACCGUGAGGCUUAACCUUACUGCGCCGAAG